CUCUUUUUGGUUAGGUCAGCAAUAGGAGCAGGGACCACUUUUUAUACAGGAGCUCAUUAUUAAGUUGGAGACUUUCCUGUGGCCCCCUUGCCCUCCCCUGCAUUACCUAGUGUCAAGCAGCAUAAUGCCAUUCAUUUUUUCCUUUGUUGGCAUCCUCACCAUCAAGAACCUUGUUGCCUUGAAUGAAAUGUCAGCUCCCUCCCAGAGGAUGCCUAGGAUGACCAUUGCAGAUUAUAAAUCAGGGAAUUAAACCAUCAGCACCUAAUGACAAAUGGGGCUUUCCCCAGUUCAACUCGCCACCUCAUCC
rnacentral:lncRNA from 1 species